CUUCACAAAGCAGAAGGGAAGAGCUUUGGUACCUUCAGUUCCUUGUAAGGGCGUUACUCCCCUUCAAGAAGACUCCCCGCCUAUUCACAGCCAUUCACAGAGGUGCUGUUGGAACAAGCUGAUCUUGUCACGAGCACCUUGAAUUUCUGCAAGCAGUUCCCGUCAAGAAGCUGCAAAAUACAUUUCUUCAGACUGGUGACGACGCAUACUAGGAAGUGGCCCAGCCUAACUGCACAGUGGCUUCCAGAUGUAACCAGACAGAAGGGAAAGAUGUCAGCAGUCAUCAAAUUGUCCCAGGUGCACACACAUCAGUUGAACAAAACCACCUUGUGCUGCUUCCUCAUGAUGGUGCUCAGCUUGAUGCAUCAUGGUACAACAGUGAGAAAAGAGAGUGUGGAGGUUGAGGUUCGGUCGUGGAAAACUGAAAUAGAAAUCAACAACAAGCUGAAGAACUAAACAGAACCUGAUAUAUUCCCCAAUACCCUUGUGUUAUCACAACAAAGACUCUAUCUAGUGACGUUCUUGUCGUUGCCUGUACAGAACCUCCUCCUAAAGCAGACCAUCUGAUCGAGAGUGAAUCCCAGACUUGCAUCUCUGUGGACGUCAGAAGGAAGGCUGUGGGCUUUUAUAGAACCCAAAUCGCAGUGGGCACUAACUGCUUCAGAUGACAAGACCAUCUGCCGAUGGGACAUCAGUGCUGUUUCCAAGGAAGGAAAAGCGUCGGAUGUAAGGACCGUCCUUACAGGGGCUUCCAGGUGUGUCAGAUGUGAGGACCACCCUUACAGGGGCUUCCAGGUGUGUCAGAUGUGAGGACCAUCCCUACAGGGGCUUCCAGGUGUGUCGGAUGUAAGGACCAUCCUCACGGGGGCUUCCAGGUGUGUCGGAUGUGAGGACCACACUUACAGGGGCUUCCAGGUGUGUCGGAUGUGAGGACCAUCCCUACAGGGGCUUCCAGGUGUGUCGGAUGUGAGGACCAUCCCUACAGGGGCUUCCAGGUGUGUCGGAUGUGAGGACCAUCCCUACAGGGGCUUCCAGGUGUGUCGGAUGUGAGGACCAUCCCUACAGGGGCUUCCAGGUGUGUCGGAUGUAAGGCCCAUCCUUACAGGGAAUACAGAAGACACUUCCAGGUGUUUGUCCCAUGAGCCUCUGUUUGGGUCAGUUGCUGAUGAUUAGAAAUUUACAAUUUGGGAUACUCAUUCAAACAACAAUUCCAGAACAA
rnacentral:lncRNA from 13 species